rnacentral:rRNA from 1 species
GAUGAACGCUAGCGGCAGGCUUAAUACAUGCAAGUCGUGGGGCAGCAGGAAGUAGCAAUACUUUGCUGGCGACCGGCAAACGGGUGCGUAACACGUACGCAACUUUCCCUUUACUGGAAGAUAGCCCACCGAAAGGUGGAUUAAUAUUCCAUAUUAAAAUGAGUUGGCAUCAACUUAUUUUCAAAGCUAAGGCGGUAAAGUAUGGGCGUGCGGCUGAUUAGAUAGUUGGCGGGGUAACGGCCCACCAAGUCUACGAUCAGUAGCUGAUGUGAGCACAUGAUCAGCCACACGGGCACUGAGACACGGGCCCGACUCCUACGGGAGGCAGCAGUAAGGAAUAUUGGUCAAUGGACGCAAGUCUGAACCAGCCAUGCCGCGUGAAGGAUGAAGGUCCUCUGGAUUGUAAACUUCUUUUAUAUGGGACGAAACACUUUCUUUCUAGAGAGCUUGACGGUACCAUAGGAAUAAGCACCGGCUAACUCCGUGCCAGCAGCCGCAGUAAUAC